GAUGAACGCUGGCGGCGUGCCUAAUACAUGCAAGUCGAGCGAACGGACGAGAAGCUUGCUUUUCUGAUGUUAGCGGCGGACGGGUGAGUAAAACGUGGAUAACCUACCUAUAAGACUGGGAUAACUUCGGGAAACCGGAGCUAAUACCGGGUAAUAUUUUGAACCGCAUGGUUCAAAAGUGAAAGACGGUCUUGCUGUCACUUAUAGAUGGAUCCGCGCUGCAUUAGCUAGUUGGUAAGGUAACGGCUUACCAAGGCAACGAUGCAUAGCCGACCUGAGAGGGUGAUCGGCCACACUGGAACUGAGACACGGUCCAGACUCCUACGGGAGGCAGCAGUAGGGAAUCUUCCGCAAUGGGCGAAAGCCUGACGGAGCAACGCCGCGUGAGUGAUGAAGGUCUUCGGAUCGUAAAACUCUGUUAUUAGGGAAGAACAUAUGUGUAAGUAACUGUGCACAUCUUGACGGUACCUAAUCAGAAAGCCACGGCUAACUACGUG
rnacentral:rRNA from 1 species